rnacentral:rRNA from 1 species
UACGUAGGGUGCAGGCGUUAAUCGGAAUUACUGGGCGUAAAGCGUGCGCAGGCGGUCUUUUAAGUCAGAUGUGAAAUCCCCGGGCUUAACCUGGGAACUGCGUUUGAAACUGGAAGGCUAGAGUGUGGCAGAGGGGGGUGGAAUUCCACGUGUAGCAGUGAAAUGCGUAGAGAUGUGGAGGAACACCGAUGGCGAAGGCAGCCCCCUGGGCUAACACUGACGCUCAGGCACGAAAGCGUGGGGAGCAAACAGG